rnacentral:rRNA from 1 species
CGUAAACGAUGAACACUAGUUGUCGGGGGAAUCGACCCCCUCGGUGUCGUAGCCAACGCGUUAAGUGUUCCGCCUGGGGAGUACGCACGCAAGUGUGAAACUCAAAGGAAUUGACGGGGGCCCGCACAAGCGGUGGAGUAUGUGGUUUAAUUCGAUGCAACGCGAAGAACCUUACCAGGGUUUGACAUCCUGCGAAUUCCUUGGAAACUUGGAAGUGCCUUCGGGAGCGCAGUGACAGGUGGUGCAUGGCUGUCGUCAGCUCGUGUCGUGAGAUGUUGGGUUAAGUCCCGCAACGAGCGCAACCCACGUCUUUAGUUGCCAGCAUUAAGUUGGGCACUCUAGAGAGACCGCCGGUGAUAAACCGGAGGAAGGUGUGGAUGACGUCAAGUCAUCAUGCCCCUUACAUCCUGGGCUACACACGUACUACAAUGCUACGGACAAAGGGCAGCAAACUCGCGAGAGCUAGCAAAUCCCAUAAACCGUGGCUCAGUUCAGAUCGUAGGCUGCAACUCGCCUACGUGAAGGAGGAAUCGCUAGUAAUCGCAGGUCAGCAUACUGCGGUGAAUACGUUCCCGGGCCUUGUACACACCGCCCGUCACACCAUGGAAGUUGGCCACGCCCGAAGUCGUUACUCCAAC